GACGAACGCUGGCGGCGUGCCUAAUACAUGCAAGUCGAGCGAGACUCUUCGGAGUCUAGCGGCGGACGGGUGAGUAACACGUGGGCAACCUGCCUGUAAGACUGGGAUAACACCGGGAAACCGGUGCUAAUACCGGAUAAUCCUUUUCCUCUCAUGAGGAAAAGCUGAAAGUCGGUUUCGGCUGACACUUACAGAUGGGCCCGGGGCGCAGUAGCUAGUUGGUGAGGUAACGGCUCACCAAGGCGACGAGGCGUAGCCGACCUGAGAGGGUGAUCGGCCACACUGGGACUGAGACACGGCCCAGACUCCUACGGGAGGCAGCAGUAGGGAAUCCUCCACAAUGGACGAAAGUCUGAUGGAGCAACGCCGCGUGAGCGAUGAAGGCCUUCGGGUCGUAAAGCUCUGUUGUUAGGGAAGAACAAGUACCGGAGUAACUGCCGGUACCUUGACGGUACCUAACCAGAAAGCCACGGCUAACUACGUGCCAGCCGCCGCGGUAACAC
rnacentral:rRNA from 1 species